GCGUAACACGUGGGCAAUCUGCCCUCCGAUGGGGAAUAACUCCGGGAAACCGAAGCUAAUUCCGCAUAACAUUCCCUGGACUCCGGUUCGGGGAUUCAAAGCAGCAAUGCGUCGGAGGAGGAGCCCGCGCCCGAUUAGCUUGUUGGCGAGGUAACGGCUCACCAAGGCAAUGAUCGGGUCUGGUUGUCAGGGGGAUGGCAAGCCACGCUGGAACUGAGACACGGUCCAGACUCCUACGGGAGGCGGCAGUGGGGAAUCUUGCGCAAUGGGCGAAAGCCUGACGCAGCGACGCCGCGUGGGGGAUGAAGCUUUUCGGAGUGUAAACCCCUUUCGACCGGGACGAAUGCCCGCAAGGGAGUGACGGUACCGGUAGAAGAAGCCCCGGCUAACUACGUGCCAGCAGCCGCGGUAAGACGUAGGGGGCCAGCGUUGUUCGGAAUUACUGGGUGUAAAGGGCCGAAGCGGUGCGGCAAGUCGGGAGUGAAUUUCUGGGCUUAACUCAAACCUGCUUCCGAACUGCUGUGCUCGAGUGUGGGAGAGGCGCGUGAAUUGCAGUGUAGCGUGAAUGC
rnacentral:rRNA from 1 species